rnacentral:lncRNA from 1 species
GGAGUCCUCAUGAUUGGGAUUAGUGCACCUAUAAGAGACCGCAGAGAGCCUAGCCAUGUGAGGACACAGGGAGAAGGUACCUUCAGUGAACCACCAGACACCAACAUCUGUUGACUUCCUGAUCUUGAACUUGCCAGCUUCCUGAACUCAGGAAGAAGAUGAGCCGUAAGUCUGAACGCCAAGGAAUUCAUGUGGAUCCUGUGCAAGAAAGGAUGUGGUUACUGUGGCAAUCCUACCUGGCAGGGUUUCUGCUCCAAGUGCUGGAGGGAAGAGUAGCACAAAGCCAGGCAGAAGCAGAUUCAGGAGGACUGGGAGCUGGUGGAACGACUCCAGCGGGAGGAAGAAGAGGCCUUUGCCAGCAGUCAGAGCAGCCAAGGGGCCCAAUCCUUCAUAUUCUCCAAGUUUGAAGGAAAGAAAACCAACAAGAAGACCUGCAAGGUUACCACAGUGAAGAAAUCUUCAGUACGUCUUCCAGGGUCAGAUCAAAGAAGGAUAUCAUUGAAAUGGAUUCCAGGCGUGUGCCUCGAGACAAGCUGGCCUGCAUCACCAAGUGCAGCAAGCACAUCUUCAAUGCCAUCAAGAUCACCUAGAACGAGCCGGCGUCAGCAGAUGACUUCCUCCCCACCCUCAUCUACAUUGUUUUGAAGGGCAACCCCCCACGCCUUCAGUCUAAUAUCCAGUAUAUCACGCGCUUCUGCAAUCCAAGCCGACUGAUGACUGGAGAGGAUGGCUACUAUUUCACCAAUCUGGUGAGUAAGUGAGUUCUUGGCGUUGUGGAGAAGGACUAGGAAGGUGGUGGUUUUGGGGAUGUGAUAGGUCACUCAGGCCCGUGACAGGUGAAUGCUUCUGUGUGAGAAAGCAGCACGGCUGAGGAAGCUCACUUUGUAUCAGGGAGCCCAAAGACCAGGCCGUACAGACACUCCGCCUCCCAGCACUUGAUCAGAGAUUGUGUUCAUCCUACGGAAACAGAUGACAUGUGUUGGGCAUCACUCCCCACGGUCCUGGGUAGAAGAGUCCUUCACUUGGCAGGGCUUUUUCAACCAUGAAUAAGGCAAAUUAUAUAUAAGUUAAUAAUGCCAUUUCGAACCGAGACAGAUGGCAGCUAAAUGAAGUUUAAUUAAAGAAUGAGUGCUGGGGCCCUUUUUACUGGGUACUGCAUCUACUUUGACCACAAAAGACGAAGUGACCCCAACUUCAAGAACAGGCUUUGAGAUGGAAGAAAGAAACAGAAGCUUGCCAAGGAGAGAGCUGGGCUUUCCAAGUUACCUGACCUUAAAGAUGCUGAAGCUGUUCAGAAGUUCUUCCUUGAAGAAAUACAGCUUGGUGAAGAGUUACUAGCUCAAGGUGAAUAUGAGAAGGGCAUAGACCAUCUGACAAAUGGAAUUGCUGUGUGUGGACAGCCACAGCAGUUACUGCAGGCCUUACAGCAAACUCUUCCACCACCAGUGUUCCAGAUGCUUUUGACUAAGCUCCCAACAAUUAGAGAAUUCUAAGUGCUCAGAGCUUGGCUGAAGAUGAUGUGGAAUAAGAAACAAAUGUCAACAUAAUAAAAUCUCAGUUAAAAAUAUUUUAAAAAUUCUUGGUAGUUGAGCAGCUCUGGGGGAAUAAGGGCAAAUAUCCUUGUUAUGAACUAUACUGAAAUCUACCAAAGUUAAUGUUUACUUUGUGUAGGUCCAUUUGUCUAUUUUAUUUAUUUUUCCCAGUGAAAAGUGUAUUUUGAUAGAGAACUUUUCAUUUUAUA